rnacentral:sRNA from 1 species
UACGUUGUAUAUGUCUAUGGGCUCCAGU